ACCAGAGGACCGUCCAGCAAUGUCGGAGGUGGUGAGGAUGCUGGAAGGAGAAGGGCUUGCUGAGAGAUGGGAAGAGUGGCAACACGUUGAAGUCAAUCGUAGACAAGAAUACGAGAGACUUCAGAGACGAUUUGAUUGGGGAGAAGAUACAAUGUUUAAUCAUGAUGCUGUUGAGUUGUCUGGUGGAAGAUGACAAAUGAGUAAUAAUUUUGAACCACAAAAAUG
rnacentral:misc_RNA from 1 species